UAAUACAGAGGGUGCAAGCGUUGUCCGGAAUCACUGGGCGUAAAGGGCGCGUAGGCGGCCUGGUAAGUCGGGGGUGAAACGCUGCGGCUCAACCGCAGCACUGCCUUCGAGACUGCCUGGCUCGAGCACAGUAGAGGCAGGUGGAAUUCCCGGUGUAGCGGUGGAAUGCGUAGAGAUCGGGAAGAACAUCGGUGGCGAAGGCGGCCUGCUGGGCUGUUGCUGACGCUGAGGCGCGACAGCGUGGGGAGCAAACAGGAUUAGAUACCCUGGUAGUCCACGCCGUAAACGAUGGGUACUAGGCGUCGGGGGGAGCGACCCUCCCGGUGCCGUCGCUAACGCAGUAAGUACCCCGCCUGGGGAGUACGGUCGCAAGACUG
rnacentral:rRNA from 1 species